rnacentral:misc_RNA from 1 species
GAUGACACCAGUCAGGUGACCAUCGAAACGUAAUACGUCACAGAGACUUCGUGUCCUGAUGAUAUGGCGAGCUGCGCCGUCCACGUUUCUCUUUCUUCAAAAGGAUAUCGAACCAUGGGUUUGCGCUCGCGCGCUGUUCGCACCUUCGGUGCUGCGCUCCGCGGGGGCGCCGGACGACCGGCGACGGCCUCUGGCCUGUAUGGGCGACCCUUUCCGAGGUUUUGCUUGGGAUUGGCGUCGACGCAGAGAGAUGGGCCCGUAGCUCAGUUGGUUAGAGCACACGCUUGAUAAGCGUGGGGUCGGAAGUUCAAGCUUCCA